GUUUCUAAGAUCUCUUGGUAAUAUUUUCAGUCACAUGUUAUAGUGUACUUUUCUUCAUUGACAGAGUCAUCAGGUUAGUAGCCUACACUAAUCACUUUCCCUUGAGUUUAUAUAUUCAACCAGCAAGCUCUAGUUUACAACCAAGAUGUCGAGAUAUUCCCAUCAUUUGGUUGCUAAACACAGCUGUUAGAUGACUGCAAAUCCAUCUCCAAUGGUCAUGUCUUGUUCUCUGCCAACACUUGUCUCCUCUGGUUCAGGAAAAUGAUGCCACCUUGAAAGGAAAUUUUGUCUCAUUCCCUGUUAUGAUUUCAUCUUGUCAGAAUAAACUCUAAUUUCAUACCUUUAAAUGUAAUAUACAAACUUGAUGAUAGCCUAGAAAGUGCUGCUGGGAGAACAUAAUUGUUACAGUCAUAAUGCUGGCAUAAGAUGCUUUGGUGCUAUUAGAGGUAAUUAAAGGAAAGUACAGUAGUAAAUAGUUUUCAGUCACUUGCAGUCCAUUGAGUUUUGUCCCUUAAAUAUGCCAUAUCUAGUGGCCUUUACCUUUGCUGGGGAUUCUGGGUACAGAAAUAUGAGAAUGGAAGUAAAAGAGCAUAUCAAUCUUACAUAAUAGGAGCCUCUUCGGUUCUGAGGGGCAAGGGAAGAGGACAGAGGGGCCUGUUACAACUUUUAAUAACAUCUCAAAAAUCUAAGAUACAGAUGGAAUUUCAUGGGACCUCUCAAAACAUCUUCAGUCUUAAUUGCUACGAGAAUAAUUAUGAGAUGCCUAUCUGAAUGGUGAAAUUCCAUAAAAGCUAACUUCUGAUUCUUAGCUUCAUAGCUAAAAUUUGAUUAAAGGAUGUCAACAAUGGUAAAAUGUCGUAGCAUUUUCCCUGUCUUUUAUUUUCCUGCCUCUCCCUUGUACAUGUAAUUCCAUGGCCUCAUUUGCUUGUUCUGAGGGACUGCAGAGAGUCUUUAAUGGAAGCAAUUAAAAUAAAUGAUGAAGAGCAAGGAAUAACUUAAGCACGAUAGUCUCGAAGAUGCCAGCUAAGGUUGAGUAUGAGAGCUUCAUGCCAGUACUGGACACCAUCCCGCGAGGGGUUGGAGAUCAAAUUCUAGACUCAGACUUCCUGUGAUGUUGAAGAAAAUGCUUUUAAUAUUUCAUGUUUUUGCAGAACAAGAGUCAAAUACUUUCUUCUGGCAGCAUUUCUUGCAGGUCAUCUUCUGUGCCAUCUGAAAUCAAGGGGAAGAGAGAAAGGGCAGAGACUUUCUGCCCUUAGCUGGGUGUUAGCUGGACACUUUCAGCGAACCCUUCAAAUAAGCACUGCCACCUGCGUGCAUUACAGAGCCUUCAUUUUGAGAAAUGAAUGAUCCCCUCCCUCAGGUGGAGAUGGAAGGAGUUAUAAAGGGUAAUUCCAAAGAUACUGGUAGGAAAGAGACCUAGCAUACCAUCAGCCAUGGCAGAAAAGGGUUGAAGGAGUGGAGCAAUAAAUUCUGCAAGCGUAGAGCUUCAUACUCCUGAUACAUUUCUACAGUAUUUAUAAAAAAUAAAAAGUAAUAAUUUAAAAAAAAAAAAAAAAAAAAAAAAGAUAUUAGCCAAAGCUUGGAUAAAGUGUGGGUAUUAGCCACAUUCAUCUCAUGUGUUUAAUGUUUGAGAAAGGCUGUCACACAAUCUCACUUUCUGUCUUCUACUUUGUAUCCUCAAAUAGGAGACCAGUCUUCAACACUAAGCUCAUCGUGAAGGGAAAAAGCAGGCACCUCCCACCUCCCAGGUUAGUGCCAGUACUCUGGCUGUAGGCUUCUCUGGCAGUCAAGCGCUCUCACUUCAGAGCUGUUGAGCAAUACUCCUCAAGGAAAACUCCUCUCCCCUUUGCCGUCAGAGUCCUGCACUCCUCUCUGAGUUGCAGCACAACUUCAAAAGAAAGGGUAGGGAAAGCGUACCUUCUCUAGGACACUACAGCAAGACAAAAGAGGUGAAUUUGAAUCACAUGAGACUACAAAAGUGUGUUGAACACAGCUCUACAACUUCCUGAGCAAAUGCUCUAACCACAUGGCUCCUAAAUAAAUGGUCAAUAUUUCCUUCUUCUGAGCUCUUCAAGUAAAGCCUAAGACAGUCCCUUAUACUCAAAGCACUGAAGACCAAGCAAAGUUUUUGCAGCUGUGACUCACACUUUCCUCACAUACUGAACUCAGAACUGCAGUCAAGUGCCAAAAACGGAGAGACAGAGAGUAUUUCAUACUCAUGUGGUCUUCAAAUGGCCAAAGCCUCUUUCCAAGCAGCACUCUGGGUGUUACAAAGCCUGCUUGUGAGCCCUGGGAACUCCAUGUCUUCGUCAUGCUACUUACUCUAGAAAGAACAUCUAACUUGUGUUUAUGAAUUGCAUUCCCAAAGGCAAGCCUGUUAAAUGUGUCUCAAUCUGGACAAAAGUAUUGUGUUUCAAAAGGAAGCUGUCAAGUAAUGUUUAAAAGUGGUCAACACCAGAACAUCGUACUACAAAGUCCUUGUAAGCCAGGGGCACUGGUACAAACUCGCAGUGUAAAGAGCUGAAUCAGUCUCAGCUGAAUGUGACGCAAGAUGGGCCAGCUGUUGAUGACCCCCUUAUCUGUCCCACGUGCCUGUUAGAACAGGCAGGCUAAUUCUCUAUCACUAGGCAAGAUCUAAGGCUACAACCAGGGUGACAUAGGUGCAGCUGGUUAAUAUAUGUAUAUAUAUAGGAAAAGAAAUAGUUGACAAUUUUUUUCCAUGUCUUUCCGUCAAUAUGCAGCAAAUUUGCCUAUUCAGAACAUUUAUUAUAGAAAAGUGCCUUGUCCCUUAAUUACGCAAACCUCUCUCUCGCUGCCUCUCAUGUAUCAGUUCUACCUUUCUAUAAAUGCCUGAUUUGUGCACGAUAGCUGGGAAAUGAUUCCUAAUCCUGCAGCUGAACCCAGGGCAGAGGCAUUUUAAUCUGCAGACCAGUGUUUUGUUGGCAUAACCACUGGAUAGGACCCAACCUUACUCAGCAUAGCAAAACAACUGCCUGAAGACUUGUUUUUUUCCCCAUUUAGCUGAUGUCAUCCAGGAAGUAAUGCAGCUCAUUUAGGAGAAAAAAAAAUAAAAAAGGAGGGGGGGAGAAGCGUCAGCCAGCUCAGCUCGGCGUUCCCUCUAGGUGGAUGUGCUGACAGAGCAAUGUCGUAAGAGGCUCCUCCAACUGCAAGUCCUGGUGCAAGUGGGCAGGCUUUCCACUGCCAUCCUCAGGAGAUUAUUGCAAACACUAGGCUUCAUUUGUUCAUGCUUCACUCGGAUUACUUGACACUAUUUAAUGUGGUGACCUAUCAAUGGUGCUUAACUUUACAGCUGCAUUUUCUGUCAGAUAGAGACAGUCAAAACUGAGCAUUCUCCAUUGCCCUCAUCUUGUGAACAGCUCUGUGCGCCAGUAGCUUUCCAUGCAUGACCGGUCCCACUGAAUGGCUCCCACAUGACUCUGCUUGUAACUGUAACAUCAGGUGUUCACAACAGGAAAGCUCUGCAUACAAAAUCUCAGCUUCUGUUCUGAGGAGGAGGUUAUUGUUGUCCUUGGAAAGGUCAUCUCAUCGCAGAGGCUGGAGAAGUUAACAGGUUCUGCCUUUGCAUUGAAAAUACUUGUUGCUUCCCACACACUCAGGAAAACAUCAGGAUGUCCCAAAGACAGCGACGAGGGUGGUGAUGAACCUCCCAGCAUGCAUUUACACUUAACCCCUGGCACUUACCUCAGGCACCAAAAAUGAAGUAGGCUGGUGAGUUCAGAGGGCUUCAGUUUAGGCAGCUGAGACACAGGAGCAGAGCCUGGGUGAUGGGGUUUUCAACUCUGGUAUUGCUGCGGCAACAUGGCAACCUAAGGAAUUACUUCAGAGGACUGAAGAAAGGCACUUAUUCCAGCCAGCAACAAAUUUAGCUGCUAAAUAUUAUCAUAUAAGUAGUGAUGAGUUUUGCGGGCAAUCUGUGAAAAAUAUUGAACGCCCACGUACGCAGCGAUUGAAACAGAAUAUGCUCGCUGGAGCUGAGUGGUAUUUCACCAUUUGGGAAGCUUUUUCAUUAGUCAACUGCCUUUCAGUAGCUAAACUCCGUGUUUGCCACCUGAAAUGUCCCUUUAAAACAACACAACAACAACAAAAAAGGCACAGAUUCUUAUCUCCUUUUCCAAGCAGGCUGAAUUCUUCAGUCCGAAGCAGUUUGAUCUUGGCACAGCUCUCGAGGCGGCGUUACACAUUUCUGGGAAAGGCAUGUCAAAAUCGCAGCGCUCGUCGUUCGGUUUAAGCAAUAGCUUCGUAUCUAAGCGCAACCCAGG